GGACAAUGAAAUAUGAUGGGAUUCAGUGUAUUCGUGUUCAUGAUAUCCAAGAGGCAGUGUAUGAAUUGAUAGCAAAUGAUGAAUUGGCAUGCUACAUGGAAUUCGAUGAGUAUGACUUUGUCCAAGACAUCAAUGACCCCAUGGAGACAUGGUGUAUUGUCAUUAGGGUCUUGAGAAAAUGGCAUAUAAACCAGAAAAAAACCCCCUUACCAUGUCUGGAACAUUUCAUUCUUGCUCAUUGAUGAGAAGGGUUCUCAAAUUCAAGCUUUCAUUCAAAGCAAAAAUCUACUCCAACAACUUGAAGAACAAUCAGCCGAGGGAAGAGUUUACUUCAUUGAGAACUUUGAAGUUCUCCCUAAUACUGACAACACCAAGGCAUGCUGUCAUCCUUGGAAAAUCAAUUUUCAUGCAAAUACAUUUGUCAAGGAACAACAGGCGAAUGCACCUUCAAAUGUAUUCAACUUUGUAUCAAUCAAGGAGGUUAUAAGUAGAGCAGAUUUUGAACAAUAGGUCACGAAUUUUAAUCAUUUGAUUGAUAUGUCAUGAUUUAAUUUAUUUUCUUUAAAAAUGAUACUUUUUCUUACCACAAUGUAAUAUGAUAAUUUCA